rnacentral:tRNA from 1 species
GCGUCGGUGGUUCAGUGGUAGAAUACUCGCCUGCCACGCGGGUGGCCCGGGUUUGAUUCCCGGACGAUGCA